GGGUGCUGAGGUGGGUGGAGGGGGCAUGGGAGAUGAAGUGGGUGCUGAGGUGGAGGGGGCAUUGGAGAUGAAGUGGGUGCUGAGGUGGGUGGAGGGGGGCAUGGCAGAUGAAGUGGGCACUGAUGUGAGUUAAGGGGGAGAUGGGUGCUUAGGUGGGUGCUGAGGUGGAGAGGGCAUGGGAGAUGAAGUGGGUGCUGAGGUGGGUGGAGGGGGCAUGGGGCUGAGGUGGAGGGGGCAUGGAAGAUGAAGUGGG